UUAGUUCUCAUUCUUGGUUCAUCUAAUCUCUGUUUCUUUUGUGUAUAGCAAAAUUUUCAUAUAACCUAUUGUUUUAAUUUAUAGAGCACACUGGUUGUUGCUUGCUAUCAACCCUAUAAGAGAAGUCGUGUAUUAUCUGAAUUCGGUAAAUGGUGACUGGACCAAUUAUCCGGCUAUGAAGGAAAUCGUUGAUUUAUCAAUACAAGUGUUCCGAAGUCAACGGGACGCACAGGUAUCCCGGACUAAAUCAAACAACAUUACUUGGAUCAAAGUGCAGUGUCCGCAACAGCGAAACAGUUCAGAUUGCGGAUAUUUUGUUUAAAGGUUUAUGAAAGAAAUCCUUCAGGCGAAUCAAUUAGAGAUUCCGCUCACGUACCUUGACGAAUUCCGUGCUGCUGGGUACCCGAGACUUAAGUUGGAAGAAAUCAAAGAGGAUUUGUGUCACUUUUAUAUUAAGCAAUUUUUCAUGUAGGAUUUGUGUCGAUUUGAACUAUAAUAUUAUUGAUGUUGUAAUGAUGUAUAUAUAUAAUUUUGGAUAUUAUAAUGGUAUUAUAUUAGUAUAUAUAUAUUGUCUUACUGAUGGCUGAAAUUAUAUCGUCGAAAAUAUAUUACAGGUCGAAAAUAUUACAGGUUGAAAACAUAUUACAGGUCGAAAAUAUUACAGGUCGACUGGG